GUGCAUGACUGUGCACCGACCAUAACCGCUCUCCUCGGAAAAGUCGGAAAAUCAAAGAGAAAUGAAUCAGAGAGAAUAGAGGGAUUUCGUUAUAUCUGUGAUCAGCCAUUAGCGCAUUAUCGUGGCAGGCGUCCUAAUUGCCUUCGGCAAAAGCUGUGAAUGUCGGCUGCUAGUGAAUAAUAAAUGUAAAUGAAAUAAUCCGAGUGUUACAACGAAGCUAACCUUAAACGACCAAUAUGGGCCUCGCGGACUUCCGAAUAGUGUUCGACAAUCCAUGGAGCACGUAUUAUUCUGGACAAACGGUGACGGGUAACAUCAUCGUUAUCCUGAACAGUACAAAGAAGAUUCGCGGUAUAAGGGUGAAAGUAAAAGGUGAAGCAAAUACUCAUUGGGCAACCGAUAAACAAGAAAUGGAUGAGAAGGGACAAUAUCGGGACGAGACCGUAACUGUCACAGGGCAUGAAGAAUAUUUUGAUAAGGAAUAUUACUUGGUUGGAUCAGCAUCUGGUGGAGAAAUCGAAAUACAAUCAGGAGAACACAAAUUUCCAUUCACUUGUUCCUUGCCGACAAACUUGCCGAGUAGUUUUGAAUCGGACUUUGGACACGUUCGUUAUACCGUUAAAGCCACGUUGGAUCGGCCUUGGAAAUUUGAUCAUGACGCUAAGAGCCCUUUCACAGUUAUUGCUCCCUUGGAUUUGAAUCGAGAACCCAGAGCAGCUGAGUCCGUGCAACAAGAAAUGAGUAAAACAUUUUGCUGUUUAUGGUGCAGCACGCCACCUUUGUCUGUAAACUUUUCACUACCGGUUCGAGGUUAUGUACCCGGACAAUCAAUGCCAAUCAAGAUAAACAUCGAGAAUUUAUCGAAUAUUGUUGUGAACACUGUCAAACUCGUGCUCUGUAAGAUUGUGACCUUCCAUGCUACCACACCACGCAGGGAAACUAAAACCGAGGAAAUUGUGGUGACGGAGAUAAGUAGAGGACCGGUUGUAGCCGGUGGAACCGCUGAUUACGAGCAACGUCUGGGCAUUCCUCCUCUUCCGCCAUCGAAUCUUGCUAAUUGCCGCAUCAUCGAUCUCGAAUAUAAUUUGAAGGUGGAAGCAUGCGUUGCAGAAUGGUAUCAUGAAAAUCUAUCCGCUAAUACGCUUAUCUUUGUGGGAACAGUUCCGCUUGCAGUUUAUCAUGUCCCAAGUGCUCCACCGGCGGCAAUGGACGGCGAUUAUUCAACGAAACCACCGGAAGCCGGUUUUGUUAUACCUUCGACAAAUACUGCAACAUUACUGCCAUUGCCAGAGUCUCAUUUGUAUCCAAACUUACCUCCGCCGUCUUUCGAGGAAUCGCCACCUGGCGCCAGAAAUCUUCGCGACCGCGGAGAAUCAGAAUAUGUUUACGGCCUGGCUAAUCAUUUUGCACCAAGAUACCCGGUAUAUAAUUUUGCACCUGCGCAGUAACGAACGAACGAGGAAUUUUGCUGUAUUAAUUUUUCUAAAAGUGUUGGAACGCUUUUCUAAAAGUUUGUUACUUUGCUUUCCUGGUGAUGUGUAUUUCACGAUGAAUUUUGCGUGACGCACAGUAAUGGAUAAAUCACAAAGUAUGCGUAGCCUAGUCAGCUUCAAAUAUUCACUUCUAGUCAGCAUUCGGGAGAUACACAUACUUCGAUUUUAAAGCGCACAACAGAUUAUAUCAGUCUCGGUACACACGAUAAUGGCUAUGGUUGGAAAAUUACGCUAUUUAUUUCCGUGGAAAUUUCGCAGAGAUAACAGCUGUGCCGU